rnacentral:rRNA from 1 species
GCUCAGGAUGAACGCUGGCGGCGUGCUUAACACAUGCAAGUCGAGCGAAGCGCUUAUGAAAGAUUCUUCGGAUGAUUUCAUUUGUGACUGAGCGGCGGACGGGUGAGUAACGCGUGGGUAACCUGCCUCAUACAGGGGGAUAACAGUUGGAAACGACUGCUAAUACCGCAUAAGCGCACAGUACCGCAUGGUACAGUGUGAAAAACUCUGGUGGUAUGAGAUGGACCCGCGUCUGAUUAGCUGGUUGGUGGGGUAACGGCCUACCAAGGCGACGAUCAGUAGCCGACCUGAGAGGGUGACCGGCCACAUUGGGACUGAGACACGGCCCAAACUCCUACGGGAGGCAGCAGUA